GAUGAACGCUGGCGGCGUGCCUAAUACAUGCAAGUCGAGCGAACGGACGAGAAGCUUGCUUCUGUGAUGUUAGCGGCGGACGGGUGAGUAACACGUGGAGAACCUACCUAUAAGACUGGGAUAACUUCGGGAAACCGGAGCUAAUACCGGAUAAUAUUUUGAACCGCAUGGUUCAAAAGUGAAAGACGGUCUUGCUGUCACUUAUAGAUGGAUCCGCGCUGCAUUAGCUAGUUGGUAAGGUAACGGCUUACCAAGGCAACGAUGCAUAGCCGACCUGAGAGGGUGGUCGGCGACACUGGAGCUGAGACGCGGUCCAGACUCCUACGGGAGGCAGCAGUAGGGAAUCUUACGCAAUGGGCGGAAGACUGACGGAGCAGCGCCGCGUGAGUGAUGAAGGUCUUCGGAUCGUAAAACUCUGUUAUUAGGGAAGAACAUAUGUGUAAGUAACUGUGCACAUCUUGACGGUACCUAAUCAGAAAGCCACGGCUAACUACGUG
rnacentral:rRNA from 1 species